CAACAAACACCAGUGCAGAUGAAAUAGUGACAUUGAGUCUGUCUGGAACAACCGCGCACACAGUUGUUAGUGAUGUUGUUGUUUCUGUAGCUACGUGCAGUGGCUGAGGAAGAAGAAGUGCAUCCCAGGCAGCUCUCUGCAUGCUUUAAAGACCUACAUACUGGGCCGGGACCAGGAGAAGAACCAGCAUCCCUCCCAGCAGCCCCAGUGCCCACCAUCUGACGGUGUUGUGCUCCCAGUUGCUGUUCCUGCUGCCUCCACGCGUGUCUCUGAAAAGCUGAUUUCUUUGUCUUCUCUGUGUGAAACAGCUGCUAACGAGCCCUCAGACGAGAUGCUCCCUGGCUGCUGCCUUAGAGGUGGAGAGUCAGCAAGCCUUCUAUGGAUUAAUGGUGUAAAACUGUAUGUAAGUUAUAAGGUGACUACGAGGUAAGGUUGAUGUUUACUGGACCCUGUAGAGAUCAGCUGUAGGCCUAACAACCUAACCUUGGUAGAUACUCACGCUUCGCUGUCCGUCUGUAUGUCAUCACAUUAUGGUAUGGUGAUUGUUGUUGUCCGUCAGUAGUUUAACUGGCAUAGUAAAGUUUGUUCUGUGCACAGAACACAGACAUCAGACAGAUUCAACGACACGUGUUGUGGAAUCUCUCUCAUGUCUGAGUAUUUGCAUGACUUUGAUUACUUUUAGUUAUUUUUGCAGAGGUCCCAUCUUCAGCCUCCACUCCUGUGCCCGUUGAUGACCUGGACCUGUCUUCCAGUGGUGACAGCAGCGUCGCCGUGCGGCCCAGGACCAGAGCUGCAGCCGCAGCUGAGGGCUGUCCUAAACCCUCGCGGCCAAUUAGUGGCUCAGAGGUGAGACACCCCCCUCCCUCCCUCUGCAGGGCAGCUCCCCCCACUGUGCU
rnacentral:lncRNA from 1 species